UAGGUUGCGAGGCCCCAAAAAGUCUACCACGGGCGGUAGGGGGAAUAUCAGGCAUGAUCGAUAAUGGUGGUGAUGAUGAUGCUGCUGGUGAUUUAAACUGGGGAUAAAUUGUAGCCUAGAUGUACUGUACAUAUGUGUGAAUGUCAAGCUUAUAACGCGAGCUGCAGCUCGAACACGAAGAAAAUACACAUGCUGGGUACGGUUUGCAGGGUUCAUGUCAAAAGCGAUAUCUUGAAAAUAAUAAAAGCCGGAAAACGGUAACUAGAUAGACAGAUAGAAUGUGAAUAUAUAGGUGUAUAUUAAGCAUAUAAAUAUAGGAAUGUCGCUUGGGGG
rnacentral:sRNA from 1 species